UACAUGGGGUGCAAACGUUGCUCGGAAUUAUUGGGCGUAAAGCGCGCGUAGGCGGUUACUUAAGUCGGAUGCGAAAGCCCUCGGCUUAACUGAGGAAGUGCACCCGAAACUGAGUAGCUAGAGUACGAAAGAGGGUCGCGGAAUUCCCGGUGUAGAGGUGAAAUUCGUAGAUAUCGGGAGGAACACCGGUGGCGAAGGCGGCGACCUGGGUCGAGACUGACGCUGAGGCGCGAAAGCGUGGGGAGCAAACAGG
rnacentral:rRNA from 1 species